AGAACGAUCAGAUCGAGGCAAAUCUUCGCCGGGGGCGGCUAUGUUAUUGGAAUUUUGAAAUUGGCAAGAAAAAGUUUUUAACACCAAUUUUUGAUUUUUUGGGGUAUUUUUAAGUACGUGAAGCGUGUUUUAAUCUCCAUAGAAAAAAUCAAGAAACCCGAGGAUCGCUAGUAGGCGCAAUAGAAAGUUCGAUGUUUCAGACACCAAUUUGGGUGAGAAUUCCUCACCUUAUUCUCUAUUAUGAAAUUGAAGCUUUAUAAUCGAUAAAAUGG
rnacentral:lncRNA from 1 species